GAUGAAGAACGUAGCGAAAUGCGAUAAGUAAUGUGAAUUGCAGAAUUCAGUGAAUCAUCGAAUCUUUGAACGCACAUUGCGCCCUUUGGCACUCCGAAGGGCACACCUGUCCGAGCGCCGUCGCACAACUGAGGCGCAGCCUUGCGUUGGCGGGCGACUUGUGAGUAGCGAGUCGCCGCCCAAACGAGACGGCGCCGCGCCGCGGCCGACGAAGCACGAAAGCGGAAGUCGACGCGGAGGCGGUUGCCUGUAGGAAGACACAGCUUGGCCUCGGAUCAGGUGGGGAUACCCGCUGAACUUAAGCAUAUCAAUAAGCGGAGGA
rnacentral:misc_RNA from 1 species